rnacentral:rRNA from 1 species
UUUGGGGAGGUUGGUAUGGGUGGUGAGUUGUAAGCAGGCUGGCCUUUGCGCUGGGUUUGUGGUGCUGCCGGCGUUGACGUUGCGAGCUGCUUCGCUCGUGGCUGAUGCGUUAGUGGUUGCUGCGUUCUUGGAGCGGCUGUCCUUUCCGUGGGAACGUCCAUUACCCAUUUGACCCGUUUUGAAACCCGGACCAAGAAGUUUAGCAAGUGCGCGAGUCAAUGGGUUGUAAACCUACUGGCGAAAUGAAAGUAAAGGCUUGCUUGUCAGGCUGACAUGAGAUCCGUGCGUAAGCGCGGCGCAUCAUGGCCCCAUGCAGAUUGCUUGCAAUUGUGUGGCGGUAGAGCGUACUUGCUGAGACCCGAAAGAUGGUGAUCUAUGCUUGAGCAGGAUGAAGCCAGAGGAAACUCUGGUGGAAGUCCGAAGCGUUUCUGACGUGC